rnacentral:rRNA from 1 species
GACGAACGCUGGCGGCGUGCCUAACACAUGCAAGUCGAACGGGGUUAUAAUGGAAGUUCCUUCGGGGACGGAAGUUAUAACUUAGUGGCGAACGGGUGAGUAACGCGUGAGAAACCUGCCUUUCAGUGGGGGACAACAGUUGGAAACGACUGCUAAUACCGCAUAACAUCUUCUAGGGGCAUCCCCUAAAGAUCAAAGCUUUAUGUGCUGAAAGAUGGUCUCGCGUCUGAUUAGCUAGAUGCGGGGUAACGGCCCACCAUGGCGACGAUCAGUAGCCGGUCUGAGAGGAUGAACGGCCACAUUGGGACUGAGAUACGGCCCAGACUCCUACGGGAGGCAGCAGUGGGGAAUAUUGGGCAAUGGGGGAAACCCUGACCCAGCAACGCCGCGUGAAGGAAGAAGGCUUUCGGGUUGUAAACUUCUUUUACCAGGGACGAAGAACGUGACGGUACCUGGAGAAAAAAGCAAACGGCUAACUAACGUG